AACAGAGGCGAUACUUGGAUCUGCAGCAGACACCCUGUGAUGGUGAAAAAAAAAAGACCAAAAGAGUCACAGUAAUUCCAGCCCUGAUAUCUUAAGCCACUGAACCAGCAGCCACCCACCCCAUUUGUUAAAGUCACCAUCAGGUGGAUUUUCUGUUACUUGAGCAGUGGAAUAACUGAUAUCACAGAAAGCACUGUGGUAUACGGAUUAUGUGUCUGUACUCUGGAACUGAGUCAAGCAGAUCUAGAGUUGAUUUUGACAAGCCACCAUUGAUGAGCUCUGUAACUUCAGAAAAGAGGCCUGGUCAUAGGACUAAAAAGAUAGUGCUCAAUAAAUGUUAUUUUUUUUCAUAACAGUUCACUUCAGUACUGUGUCAAAAUCUGGUCUCCAAUAAAUGUAACCUUAACUAACUACAGAUAGAAUGAGGAGGGAUUAAUACAAAGACCAACAUCACUGAUUGUAGCUACUGGAAAGGAUGAAAAUCAAGGUUAGAUGAAUGUGAAAUUCAAAAUUUCUCCAUGGUCAGAUUUUUACUUAUUUUAAUAGUUUAUAAAUGUUGGUAAGUAUCCUUAAAUCAUUUCUGCAAGUAGAUGGGGGAUCAAUCAUAAAUAAAAUAAGCCUGGUAAGGCCUCAAACCACAAAAUAAUUAAAUAUAAGCCAACGUGUUAGAUUCUUAAAAUUUAAUCUGAAACGAUAAAAACUCUACAUUUUCAUUCGAAGCAUAUUAAUAUUGCUACAUUGCUAAAAUGUAUUAGCACCAUCUUAGUUAUUUUAAGCACUUAAAAAGCUGGUUAAAAGCUAGGUCACAAUUAUUAUCUCAUUUGCCCUUAUAAGAGUUCAAUUAAAGCACAGGCAAUUGAAAGAA